UACGUAGGGGGGCAAGCGUUGUCCGGAUUUAUUGGGCGUAAAGAGCGUGUAGGCGGCUUUGCAAGUCCGUUGUGAAAACUCGAGGCUCAACCUCGAGACGCCGGUGGAAACUGCAAAGCUAGAGUCCGGAAGAGGAGAGUGGAAUUCCUGGUGUAGCGGUGAAAUGCGCAGAUAUCAGGAAGAACACCCGUGGCGAAGGCGGCUCUCUGGGACGGUACUGACGCUGAGACGCGAAAGCGUGGGGGAGCGAACAGG
rnacentral:rRNA from 1 species